AUACGGAGGGUCCAAGCGUUAUCCGGAAUCAUUGGGUUUAAAGGGUGCGCAGGCGGUUUAUUAAGUCAGUGGUGAAAUAUCGGGGCUCAACCUCGAAACUGCCAUUGAUACUGAUAAACUUGAGUUCAGUUGGAGUAGGCGGAAUGUGUAGUGUAGCGGUGAAAUGCUUAGAUAUUACACAGAACACCGAUAGCGAAGGCAGCUUACUAAACUGAUACUGACGCUGAGGCACGAAAGCGUGGGGAGUGAACAGGAUUAGAAACCCUAGUAGUCC
rnacentral:rRNA from 1 species